CACGUAGGGUGCGAGCGUUGUCCGGAAUUAUUGGGCGUAAAGAGCUCGUAGGCGGUGUGUCGCGUCGGCCGUGAAAACCUGCAGCUUAACUGUGGGCUUGCGGUCGAUACGGGCAUCACUGGAGUUCGGCAGGGGAGACUGGAAUUCCUGGUGUAGCGGUGAAAUGCGCAGAUAUCAGGAGGAACACCGGGGGCGAAGGCGGGUCUCUGGGCCGAUACUGACGCUGAGGAGCGAAAGCGUGGGGAGCGAACAGG
rnacentral:rRNA from 1 species